GCGUGAGUGAUGAAGGCCUUAGGGUUGUAAAGCUCUUUCACCGAUGAAGAUAAUGACGGUAGUCGGAGAAGAAGCCCCGGCUAACUUCGUGCCAGCAGCCGCGGUAAUACGAAGGGGGCUAGCGUUGUUCGGAAUUACUGGGCGUAAAGCGCACGUAGGCGGAUAUUUAAGUCAGGGGUGAAAUCCCGCAGCUCAACUGCGGAACUGCCUUUGAUACUGGGUAUCUUGAGUAUGGAAGAGGUAAGUGGAAUUCCGAGUGUAGAGGUGAAAUUCGU
rnacentral:rRNA from 1 species